GAGGCGGAGACACAAGGCUCCGUUCCACUGGGCACGCCAGCGGGUAGGGGUGGGGGCGGGGAGGUGCGCGCGCAGCGUGGGAGGAGGCCAACUCUCGGGGCGCUCCCUAGCCCUGGGUGGGUGGAGCGGGGGAAGCGGAGUACGUUGGACCCGGCUCCGCCCUACCCCACGGGGCCGCCUGGAGAGGUGCUGGGAGCUGGGUGGAGCUUAGAGGAAUUAAACUUUGGCCCUGCGCCUCGUCCAGCCUAGGUUCCACCCUUUUCUGGGAACGUGAGUAUCAACCAAGGCUGGAGUGCAGUGGCACCAUCUCGGCUCACUGCAACCUCUGGCUCCCAGGUUCAAGCGAUUCUCCUGCCUCAGCCCCCUGAGUAGCUGGGAUUACAGGCACGCGCCACCACUCCCAGAUGGAGUUUUGCUCUUGUUGCCCAGGCUGGAGUGCAAUGGCAAGAUCUCAGCUCACCACAACCUCUGCCUUCUUUUUUCUUCUGUUUUUAAAACUUGUGGUAAAAUCUAGAUAACAAAAAGUUUGCCAUUUUAACCAUUUUUAAGUGGACAGUUCAGUGGCAUUAGUUACAUUCCCAAUGUUGUGUAACCACCACUAUUAUCCAUUUCCAGAAGGUUUUCAUCACCCGAAACAGAAACUCUGUACCCAUUAAAUAGUAACUCCCCAUUCUACCCUUCUCUCCCUCCAUAACCUCUGUUUUACCUUCUGCAUCCAUCAAGUUGCCUGUUAUAGAUAAUUCACAUAGA
rnacentral:lncRNA from 1 species